rnacentral:lncRNA from 1 species
UUUUUCCUGCUGCGCAGGCUUCGAUUCCGGUGCAGGUGCGGGGGUACGUUGCGGGUGAGGCUGUGGGGGAGGGGCAUAGGGCGGCAUAGGGGGCGGGGCGGCGCGGGGUAAGGGCUAGAGGUGGCAGAGCAGAGCGGAGCGGGAGGGAGCGGGAUGAGGGGCAAGCCCCUCUCAUCCAGCACCUGUGUGGCCUUGUUGGUGUACCCUCAUGAAGGAAAUCACAUCCCUGUGUGACCCCGCCCCUGUGGCGUCCUUGGCUCUGAUCCGGUGUCUGGCUGAUGUCAGUGACCUGGCUUAUGAGUGGUGGAGAAAUUGAAAGUGCUCUGAGUUGGAUCACCCUAAAGGUGUUAUCUGUCUACUCUCCUGCUCCAGUAAUUGUAUUAGAGAAGGGCUGAGACCAGGCCUUGGAAGCAGAGGGGAGGGAAGGGGCCCCAGGGCCAGCAGUGUUGACCUCAGAACCAUUGGAUAGCCCCAUAUCACCCCCUCUGCAAGCAGCUCUUCUGAGCAGGGACCAGAGACCUUAGAAAGAAGCAGGCUGUG